CGGAGGCGCCGGGGCGAGCGGGGUAGGCUGCACGAGAGGCCGAGAGGGGGCAGCAGGCGAUGGCGGCGGCGGCGGGUCGGCUGGGUUGGUUGGUCGCUGCGCUCUGCCUGGGCAACGCCGCCGGGGAAGCGGCGCCGGGUGUGCAAGUGCUGGGUUUCUGUGUAGAGGAGGACGAAGCGCCCGGUGUGGAGUGGGCACGCGGAGGUGGGGCGCGUGCCGUGCCGGAGGCCACCUUCCGCUUGCGCCUCUUCGGCUCGGCUUUCGCCAACAGCUCUUGGACCUGUGUGACCCCCAAGGGGACGGGCUGCCCCGAGGGCCAGGCGGUCGCGGCGCCCGAGGAGACGGUGGCGGCCCUCACGGACGAGUGGCGCGCGCUGCUGUGCCUGCGCUCCGAGGCCCUGCGCCCGCACUCGGCGCUGCUCGCUGUGCGCGUGGAGCCGGGCGGCGGGGCGGCCGAGGAGGCGGCGCCGCCGUGGGCGCUGGGCCUGGGGGCGGCCGGGCUGCUGGCGCUGGCGGCCCUGGCGCGGGGCCUGCAGCUGAGCGCGCUGGCGCUGGCGCCGGCCGAGGUGCAGGUGCUGCGUGAGAGCGGCUCGGAGGCGGAGCGUGCGGCGGCGCGGCGUCUGGAGCCCGCGCGGCGCUGGGCCGGUUGCGCCUUGGGCGCGCUGCUGCUGCUGGCCAGCUUGGCGCAGGCGGCGCUGGCGGUGUUGCUGUACAGCGCGGCCGGCCAGCGCGCCCUGCCCGCCGUGCUGGGCUGCGCGGGGCUGGUGUUCCUGGUGGGCGAGGUGGUGCCGGCAGCCGUGAGCGGACGCUGGACGCUGGCGCUGGCGCCGCGCGCUCUGGGCCUCAGCCGCCUGGCGGUGCUUCUCACCUUGCCCGUGGCGCUGCCGGUCGGCCAGCUGCUGGAGCUGGCGGCGCGUCCCGGGCGGCUGCGGGAGCGCGUCCUGGAACUGGCUCGCGGCGGCGGCGACCCCUACAGCGACCUCAGCAAGGGCGUGCUGCGCUACCGGACGGUGGAAGACGUGCUCACGCCCCUCGAAGACUGUUUCAUGCUGGAUGCCAGCGCGGUGCUGGACUUCGGCGUCCUGGCCAGCAUCAUGCAGAGCGGCCACACGCGCAUCCCCGUGUAUGAGGAGGAGCGCUCCAACAUCGUGGACAUGCUGUACCUCAAGGAUUUGGCCUUCGUGGACCCGGAAGACUGCACGCCUCUCAGCACCAUCACUCGAUUCUACAACCACCCUCUCCACUUCGUCUUCAACGACACCAAGCUGGACGCCGUCCUGGAGGAGUUCAAGCGAGGCAAGUCCCACCUGGCCAUCGUGCAGAAGGUCAACAACGAGGGUGAGGGAGACCCCUUCUAUGAGGUCCUGGGCCUGGUCACCUUGGAGGACGUCAUUGAGGAGGUCAUCAAGUCCGAGAUCCUGGAUGAGUCGGAGGACUACCGGGAGAUCCUGGCAAGGAGGAGGCCGACUGUUCCAAGUGCACCCCUCAAGCGGAAAGAGGAGUUUUCCCUGUUCAGGGUGUCUGAUGAUGAGUGUAAAACCAGAAUCUCACCUCAGCUGCUGCUGGCCACCCAGCGCUUCCUCUCCCGAGAGGUGGAUGUGUUCAACCCACUCCGAGUCUCCGAGAAGGUCCUGCUGCACCUGCUGAAGCAUCCCAGCGUCAACCAGGAAGUACACUUUGACGAGAGCAACCGCCUGGCUGCACAUCACUACCUGUACCAGCGCAGCCGGCCUGUGGACUACUUCAUUCUCAUCCUGCAGGGCAGAGUGGAGGUAGAGAUUGGGAAAGAAGGCCUGAAGUUCGAGAAUGGGGCCUUCACCUACUAUGGAGUGUCUGCCCUGACAGCACCGUCCUCGGUUCACCAGUCCCCAGUGUGCUCGCGCCCGCCUGCCCGUCCUGACCUGCAGCCCGAGCCGGCUGACUGCACCCGCUCCUCCACGUACUGUCCUGACUACACCGUGAGGGCCCUCUCUGACCUGCAGCUCAUUAAGGUUACCCGGCUGCAGUACCUCAAUGCACUCCUGGCCACCCGGGCCCAGAGCCUGCCACCAUCCCCGGAGAGCGCCAAUCUCCAGGUCGUCCCAGGCAGCCAGACCAGGCUGCUGGGUGAGAAGACGGCUGCAGCAGCCGCUUUCCCAGUAGACCUUUCCCUCUUUGGCACAUUUGGAAACUGCAGUUGAUAAAUGACUAUGGACUAGUGAGCGUUUUUUGUUUUAAGGAAACACCCAAGGGUCCAGCCACAGCAGACCCAGCAUCCCUGUGGAGGAGAGCCCUGGGCGCAACCCAGGAGUCUAGCUGCUUGCCAGGCAGCCCCAAGCCAGGGAGCAGGCAAGCACGUGGGAGGUGGCGUGAGCCGAGAAGUCCCCGCUCUCUGCAGGCCACGUUGUAGAUGGCCCUUACUGGUGCAGCCUUGGGGCCUCCUCAGCCAGACAGCAGUGCAGGAGCCUUCACUAGGCCCUGGGCCCUGCUUCAGGAGACGGGGGGCU